UACGGAGGGUGCGAGCGUUGUCCGGAAUCAUUGGGCGUAAAGGGCGCGUAGGUGGCGGGACAAGCGUGCGGUGAAAGCCUGGGGCUCAACCCCGGGUCGGCCGUGCGAACUGUUUUGCUUGAGCACUGUAGAGGCAGGCGGAAUUCCGGGUGUAGCGGUGGAAUGCGUAGAGAUCCGGAAGAACACCGGUGGCGAAGGCGGCCUGCUGGGCAGUAGCUGACACUGAGGAGCGACAGCGUGGGGAGCAAACAGG
rnacentral:rRNA from 1 species